rnacentral:rRNA from 1 species
UACUAGAGUAGCACUCGCAUAUCAAUAAGCGGAGGAAAAGAAACUAACAAGGAUUCCCCUAGUAACGGCGAGUGAAGCGGGAAGAGCUCAAAUUUGAAAUCUUAAAGGGUUUCCCUUUACGAAUUGUAGUUUAAAGAAGUGUUUUCUGUUGAGGUUUUGGUAAAAGUUCUUUGGAAUAGGACAUCAUAGAGGGUGAGAAUCCCGUAUUUGACCUUUACUUUCAACUUUGUGAUACACUUUCAAAGAGUCGGAUUGUUUGGGAAUGCAGUCCAAAAUGGGUGGUAAAUUUCAUCUAAAGCUAAAUAUUGGCGAGAGACCGAUAGCGAACAAGUACCGUGAGGGAAAGAUGAAAAGAACUUUGAAAAGAGAGUUAAACAGUACGUGAAAUUGUCAAAAGGGAAGCGUUUGACACCAGUGUUGUUUUUCUGAAAAUCAAUUAAAGAACUGUUUAUGCUAAGCUGUUUAGACUUUAUCAGCUAUCUGUUUAGUUUUGAGCUUUUCUUUAAUGCACUUUUCAGUUAACAAGUCAACAUCAAUUUCUUUUGCUGUAAAAAAGCUUGAGGAAGGUGGCUUGAGAUUCGUCUUAAGUGUUUAUAGCCUCUUGCCUAUGCAGUCGGAGAGGAUAGAGGUCUGCAGUGUAGAUCCUUCGGGGCUAAAUGCAUUUGUGCUAAGUUAUAGCAUUUUAUAGACAACUUGUUGACUAUGAUUUGUCUUGUAGCUUACUCGCUUAUGUUAUUUUACCUACGCUUAGGAUGUUGAGUCAUCACACAUCUCU